GAAGGGGCCAACUAUUUAACUAAGCUCCCUUUGAAAAAAAAUCAGAAUUCUACCAUCAAGGAACUCCUGUCUUGAUUGAAGUAAAAUGGGCUUGUCACAGUGAAGUCAACAUGUAGCUGCCUCAUCAAUUUGAUCAGACUUUGAAUCUCGCUUUACAGAAUCGCUUGCUUUGGGGCCUGUCCAAAAUGUUGCUUUGAAACUGCCAAUAAAGCUGCUACUUGGACAUCUAUGGAGACAUUACUGUCUUAUGCUGUAUCCAGACUGGCCUGAAACUUGUUAUAUAGCCCAUGCUGGCC